GUGUCAUGGUCAUUGUUGACCGUUCAUACGACCCCUGCAAUUGCAUUGCAGCUUAAGCGGGAGUCGUAUAACGGAUAACAGAGACCCUUGACAU
rfam:Medicago truncatula strain A17 chromosome 3, whole genome shotgun sequence.